rnacentral:rRNA from 1 species
GACGGGGCCCGCACAAGCGGUGGAGUAUGUGGUUUAAUUCGACGCAACGCGCAGAACCUUACCUAGACUUGACAUCCCGGGGAUUUUCUGGAAACAGAGAAGUGCUUUAGCAAUAAAGAACCCGGUGACAGGUGCUGCAUGGCUGUCGUCAGCUCGUGUCGUGAGAUGUUGGGUUAAGUCCCGCAACGAGCGCAACCCUCGCCUUUAGUUGCCAGCAUUCAGUUGGGCACUCUAGAGGGACUGCCGGUGUCAAACCGGAGGAAGGUGGGAUGACGUCAAGUCCUCAUGGCCUUUAUGUCUAGGGCUACACACGUACUACAAUGGCCGGUACAAAGGGCAGCCACUCAGCGAUGAGGCGCUAAUCCCAUAAAGCCGGUCUCAGUCCGGAUCGCAGUCUGCAACUCGACUGCGUGAAGUUGGAAUCGCUAGUAAUCGUAGAUCAGCAUGCUACGGUGAAUACGUUCCCGGGCCUU